CCUUGACUCCUAUUCCCGCCUAAUUAGCUGCCUCAUUGCCCAAACAGUACUUUAUUUAUCAUCAAAUAAGACAAACAUAUACACAGAAGCUCUUCCCUCAUGACUAUUGUGUUUGUGAAGUCACCCUGAGCCUUAGGUCAGAGGGCAGUAACAAGGGAGUCCUCCUAUCAGUGCUGAGGAUAAACUAAGUUUGAUCCCUGUCCCUGCUUUAGAGCUACAGCAAUGUGAGGCAGCAAUGAUUCCAUUUGGCCAUGAGAGGGCAGUGUAGGGCAGAGCAUCCUCAGAACUCAGGCACUCAAGAGCUGUUUGCUCAAUCAACUUUUUGACAUUCUGUGAGAUUUUUCCCCCUGCCCUCUGGGAGGUGGGCGAGAAAACCUGCUAGAAGACCCUUCUGCAAGCAAGGUCUCUGAAACCAGGACUCCCCCGGUCUACGAGGUCCCAGAUUCGGCAGCUCCUCUGUGCCUGGAGGUGGUGGGAGAGGAAGCUGAGGCCUGGGGUGUGUUGGGACAAGUCCGACAGGGUUGGGAGCUCAGGAUGGCUGGUGGGUGGAGUAUCUUGAGGUGGGCAGCGCCAAGCAGGAGGUCUGGGGCCCAUAUUUCGGUGUCUGCACUUGUCACUGACAGCCUCCCACUAGCCGGGGCCUCUUUCCCAUCCCGUCUGCUGGAAACGGAAUGAAGGAGGAAGCAUGCCAGAGUCACUAAGUGCAACCCAGGCAGCAGAGUCUGAGUCCAACGAACAGGUUUGCUAACUUUGAGCAUCCUGGUAAGCUUUAGAAAAUGCAGAUGCCCGUGCCUCGCUGAGUUCUCCAGAUAAAACCUUUGGAGAACAGACCAUCAAGAAAUCUGCUUUCAGUCUUCUGAGGACAACAGGAAUGAGGAAGAGGGUGGGGUAGGCCCUUCCCAGGUACCUGGCGAUGCUGGGCAGUUUCAGUUUACCAUCUGGGAAACUGGAAGAUGACUUCGGCAGAUUUUCAUUGCAGCAAAAUACACUGGCAUCGAAUGGGUUGAUAUGACAAGGCUUCAAAAGGAAGAAGAAAAUGGCUAUGCAAAUUCAAGGUAGAUCUGCAUUAUACAACCUAAAAAUAUCCACAGAUUCCAG
rnacentral:lncRNA from 1 species